CUUCAUAAACUAGGCAUUUCUUGGGGCCUUUUAAAACACUGAGUCCUGCGCAGUGUAUGCAGAGGAAGACAAAUUCUGGGCUCUGAUUCCAGACCUGAAAGACAAAUAUCACUCAGCAUUUCCAUCUGGCCAUCAGUAUCUGUCCUCCUUCUCAAACAGGGGAUUUCAUGAAAUGAGUUUACAUUCACUUUAAAUGUGCCAACAUCUGUUUCAGGUAUCUGCAUUGCUACAGUGGGGCACUGUGUUUCAACUGAGGCAGUGACAAAAUUGUUCAGACCCCACAGCUUCCUGAAGUGCCUUUCAGCAGAUCUACAUGGCUGAGCAAAUGCAAGGGCUCCGAUCCUCUUUAAAACUAGGCCAGGGAACAAGGAGAUUGCAGAGGGUCUUGUCUCUACAGCUAAUUCAACUUGCACAUAACCUAUAAGUAUGGAAAUCAAGGGGACAAUAAUAAACCAGAUCCCUUUCAAGUGCUGGUAUCUGCU
rnacentral:lncRNA from 1 species